rnacentral:rRNA from 1 species
AUUGAACGCUGGCGGCAUGCCUUACACAUGCAAGUCGAACGGUAACAGGUCUUCGGAUGCUGACGAGUGGCGAACGGGUGAGUAAUACAUCGGAACGUGCCUAGUAGUGGGGGAUAACUACUCGAAAGAGUGGCUAAUACCGCAUGAGAUCUACGGAUGAAAGCAGGGGAUCGCAAGACCUUGCGCUACUAGAGCGGCCGAUGGGAGAGUAGGUAGUUGGUGGGAUAAAAGCUUACCAAGCCGACGAUCUGUAGCUUGUCUGAGAGGACGAUCAGCCACACUUGGACUGAGAACCGGGCCAGACUCCUACGGGAGGCAGCAGUGGGGAAUUUUGGACAAUGGGCGAAAGCCUGAUCCAGCAAUUCCGCGUGCAGGAUGAAGGCCCUCGGGUUGUAAACUGCUUUUGUACGGAACGAAAAGCCCCGGGUUAAUACCCUGGGGUCAUGACGGUACCGUAAGAAUAAGCACCGGCUAACUACGUGCCAGCAGCCGCCGUAA